rnacentral:rRNA from 1 species
CGAGGGGGGCAAAUGUUGUUCGGAAUCACUGGGCGUAAAGGGAGCGUAGGCGGGCUCUUAAGUUAGGUGUUUAAUCCCGGGGCCCAACCCCGGACCGGCACUUAAAACUGGGAAUCUUGAAUAGUGGAGAGGUCGGUGGAAUUGGGGGUGUAGCGGUGGAAUGCGUAGAGAUCCCCAAGAACACCAGUUGCGAAGGCGGCCGACUGGACACAUAUUGACGCUGAGGCUCGAAAGCAUGGGGAGCAAACAGGAUUAGAUACCCUGGUAGUCCAUGCCAUAAACGAUGAAUACUAGGUUUUGGGCCCGUCAACGGUCCAGAGCCGCAGCUAACGCGUUAAGUAUUCCGCCUGGGGAGUACGGUCGCAAGACUG